rnacentral:rRNA from 1 species
UCGCUCCUACCGAUUGAAUGAUCCGGCGAAGUCUUUGGACCGUGGCGUCUUGGUGGGUAACUACCAUUACGUUUCUGGGAAGUUGAUUAAACCUUAUCAUUUAGAGGAAGGAG